rnacentral:rRNA from 1 species
GACGAACGCUGGCGGCGUGCUUAACACAUGCAAGUCGAACGGAAAGGCCCUGCUUGCAGGGUACUCGCGUGGCGAACGGGUGAGUAACACGUGGGUGAUCUGCCCUGCACUUCGGGAUAAGCCUGGGCAACUGGGUCUAAUACCGGAUAGGAGCCAUUUUUAGUGUGAUGGUUGGAAAGUUUUUUCGGUGUAGGAUGAGCUCGCGGCCUAUCAGCUUGUUGGUGGGGUAAUGGCCUACCAAGGCGGCGACGGGUAGCCGGCCUGAGAGGGUGGACGGCCACAUUGGGUCUGAGAGACGGCCCAGACUCCUACGGGAGGUAGCAGUGGGGAAUAUUGCACGAUGGGCGCAAGCCUGAUGCAGCGACGCCGAGUGGGGGAUGACGGCCUUCGGGUUGUAAACUCCUUUCGCUAGGGACGAAGCUUGUUGUGACGGUACCUAGAUAAGAAGCACCGGCUAACUACGUG